GUGCUCACUUUGACAGCAUACAUGCUAAAAUUGAAAUGAUACAGAGGUUAGCUUGGCCCCUGUGCAAGGAAGACACACAAAUUCAUAGAGCGUUCCAUAUUUUU
ensembl:snRNA U6 U6 spliceosomal RNA